rnacentral:rRNA from 1 species
ACACGUAUCCAACCUGCCGUCUACUCUUGGACAGCCUUCUGAAAGGAAGAUUAAUACAAGAUGGCAUCAUGAGUUCACAUGUUCACAUGAUUAAAGGUAUUCCGGUAGACGAUGGGGAUGCGUUCCAUUAGAUAGUAGGCGGGGUAACGGCCCACCUAGUCUUCGAUGGAUAGGGGUUCUGAGAGGAAGGUCCCCCACAUUGGAACUGAGACACGGUCCAA